GAGUAUGGGAGGAGCCUGUAGAUGGCGCCGAGGCCACGAAGCUUUCGGUAUGCGGAGCCGAAGGAGAGCCGAUUGUCUGAGAGAGGAAAUCUGGAAACAAAGUAGUGGGAUGGGUUUGUGGGCGGUAACUUGUGUGCGGCCAAGGCCCGGCCCGUGGAGCCUGCACUGAUUGGCACAAUAGGCUUUGGGAGCGUCCUGGGCUGGAUGUAGUGGGAGUAACUUGGGGAGUCAGCAAGCCCUAGAGGGCAGGAUCAAGGACUGCCGGCGGGGCAGCGUUUAAGAGGGACCUGGAAUGUUCUCCCAGACUCUGCUGCAGACACCUCAUCCCCCAUCCCUCAGUCCCAGGGUGAACAGUCUCUGGGACCACAGUUGGUCACCUCAACGCUGAGUUCUCAGCAGGACUUCCUAUUUCCUGGCAGUAACGGGUCUGGGUAGUAGGGUAGUGAGCUCUGGGUAAAGUAGAGCAUACACAGAACCCUCUGCAUCCGCAGGCGCUGCUCACAAUCUCAGCCAUACCUGUCAGUCCUUGGGAAGUUUAGCAAAUCUUGUGCACUACUACAGGGCUCAGUGUGACCGCAUCAAGUAGAGAUACUGGCUCAGACCUGUAAUCCCAGCAAUCGAGAGGAUCACGGACUUAAAGCUGCCUCAGCGACAUACAGACCUAGGGUCAAACGUAUGACCCUAUUUCAAGAAGCAGUUAAAUUGUUGCUUUCAGAGCAGAAGGAUCAUUUUCGUUAACAAAAUAAAAU
rnacentral:lncRNA from 1 species